rnacentral:rRNA from 1 species
AGACAGGUUAGUUUUACCCUACUGUUGCUCGAUCAUGUGAUAGUAGUCGAGCUGAGUACGAGAGGAACGGUUCGAUCGGAUACUUGGUACUGCGCUCGAUGGAGCCGUCGAUGGCGCGAAGCUACAUCCGCGGGUUAAUGACUGAGCGCCUCUAAAGUCAGAAACCUUGCUAGAAACAUGGUCGCGACCGGGCCGCACAGCACGCUACGCUACCCCCACCUCACGGCGCGAUCACCGUGAGCCGUGUCUAGCAUCACGCCCGCGCUGACACGCGCGGGCUCGCAAGUGCAUCCCCGGUUAACGGGGAGGGGGGUCGGUCGGGGGAUCCAUUGUAGACGACUCUGCUAAUGAUAACCGGGUACUGCAAGCGGGAGAGUGUGUCACACGAUUCGUUGAGGUUUAACCCGGGUUACCU